rnacentral:rRNA from 1 species
GACGAACGCUGGCGGCGUGCCUAAUACAUGCAAGUAGAACGCUGAAGAGAGGAGCUUGCUCUUCUUGGAUGAGUUGCGAACGGGUGAGUAACGCGUAGGUAACCUGCCUUGUAGCGGGGGAUAACUAUUGGAAACGAUAGCUAAUACCGCAUAGCAAUGGAUGACACAUGUCAUUUAUUUGAAAGGGGCAAUUGCUCCACUACAAGAUGGACCUGCGUUGUAUUAGCUAGUAGGUGAGGUAAUGGCUCACCUAGGCGACGAUACAUAGCCGACCUGAGAGGGUGGGCGGCCAGCCUGGGAGUGAGACACGGCCCAGACUCCUACGGGAGGCAGCAGUAGGGAAGCUUCGGCAAUGGGGGCAACACUGACCGAGCAACGCCGCGUGAGUGAAGAAGGUUUUCGGAUCGUAAAGCUCUGUUGUAAGCCAAGAACGGGUGUGAGAGUGGAAAGUUCAUACUGUGACGGUAGCUUACCAGAAAGGGACGGCUAACUACGUG